rnacentral:rRNA from 1 species
UACAGAGACUGCAAGCGUUAUUCGGAUUCACUGGGCGUAAAGGGUGCGCAGGCGGUUCUGCAAGUCAGGCGUGAAAGCCCCGGGCUUAACCUGGGAAUGGCGCUUGAAACUACAGGACUGGAGUAUGGCAGAGGGAGGUGGAAUUCCACGUGUAGCGGUGAAAUGCGUAGAGAUGUGGAGGAACACCGAUGGCGAAGGCAGCCUCCUGGGCCAAUACUGACGCUCAUGCACGAAAGCGUGGGGAGCAAACAGG